UACGUAGGGUGCGAGCGUUAAUCGGAAUUACUGGGCGUAAAGCGUGCGCAGGCGGUUUUGUAAGCCAGAUGUGAAAGCCCCGGGCUCAACCUGGGAAUGGCAUUUGGGACUGCAAGGCUGGAGUGUGGCAGAGGAGACUGGAAUUCCUGGUGUAGCAGUGAAAUGCGUAGAUAUCAGGAGGAAUACCGGUGGCGAAAGCGACUCUCUGGACGGCAACUGACGCUGAGGCACGAAAGCGUGGGGAGCAAACAGG
rnacentral:rRNA from 1 species